rnacentral:tRNA from 1 species
GCGAGAGUGGUGGAAUUGGCAGACACGCUAGAUUUAGGAUCUAGUGCCUUUGGCGUAAGGGUUCGAGUCCCUUCUCUCGCA